rnacentral:lncRNA from 1 species
CCGAGCCGAGCCGAGCUUUUUAAUCGAACAAAAAUUGUGUUCAAGCUCGGCUCGUUAACUAACAAGCCGAACACGAGCUUGUUCGCGAACAAAUACGAGCCGAGCCGAGUCGAGUCGAGCCGAGCCAGAAAAAAAAUAAGGACAAACCGCUAGUUGACUCUUAAAAUAGCUAACCUAAUAAUUUCAAUUUUUUUGAAACUUUGUUUAUAUCACUAAAAUGUAUAUAUGUUAACAUCCAUACAGUUGGAUCGGUAAAAAAUAUUUUUUAAAAUAUUGAAACACUAAAUUAGGAUUAAACACUAGUUAGCGGUACUAGUCAAACUUCUACUUGCCUGU